CAAGGCUAAGGUUGAAACCAAAACAACCUUGAAUAGGAACAAUUUCACAAACUACACCUCUUUCCAAAAUGCCCCUGACCUUCAAAGAAACAAAAUCUAAGUUUAAGAAAAUUCAAGGUAAACUCAAGAUUAAUUUACUUAUACCAAAUAAAUUGAUAUUUGAUGGGCAUACCAAAACUCAAUCAAAUACUCACAAAAAAUUAACCAAAAUAGGAAAGUGGCUCAACUUGGCUAAACAAGAGGAAGGGAGGAGGGCGGACAACUCGCAACUCGAGAUGACUCUGUAAGAGGCUUUAGCGCGCACGACUCAGUGAGGACCACGUAUGGCUUCAAUGGAAGAUAAAUAGCUUGCGAUAGAGAUGAGCUCCAAUUGAGAUAGAGAUGAAAAGCGAUGAAGAUGGGCGGUGGCCAGACUUGCUUGAUGGAAGGAACACGAACGACAUGUAAGGCUUUACGAACUCGUAAAGGAGAGGAACGGUGUGGCUUUGUUGAAGCGGAUGAAAAUUGACUGCGUGAACAGUGAGAUGUUCGUCAAACGAUGGUGGUGAACGAACGGAGAUGGAAAUAGGCGUCGACGACUAAGGUUCUUUAUGAGGAAGAAGAUGGAAUGCACACAGAACGAGAAGACCUAUUUAAAAUAUUGUUAUUAUUACUAUUAUUAUUAUUUUACUUUUCUUUUUCUUUUUCCUUUUCCUUUUCUUUUUCCCUACAAAAAUAACUCAAAUCUUCUCUCUUUAUUAAAUUCCAUAUCAAAUCUUUUUUUUUUUAUCUUCUUCCAAAAAUAUAACAUAUUUCCUUAUAUAAUUAUAUUAUCCCCAUAAU
rnacentral:lncRNA from 1 species